AUAGCGCCCAGCCAGGGGGGAUGAGAACCCCCGACCGGGGUUCGACAACUGGCGCAGCCAGUUGGACAGACCCUGAGCCUGCGAACGGACUGCCCGGAGGGCGAGCGCAGCGAGUCAAUCCCCCCUCACCGCCA
rnacentral:sRNA from 1 species